GGGCCUCUAGCUCAUGAUGGUUAGAGCAGCGGACUCAUAAUCCGUUGGUGCCGGGUUCGACUCCCGGGGGGCCCACCA
rnacentral:tRNA from 2 species